GUGAAUCAUCGAAUCUUUGAACGCACAUUGCGCCCUCCGGUAUUCCGGAG
rnacentral:rRNA from 1 species